AAUAGAGUGCCUGAUAAAAGGAUUAUUUUGAUAGAAUAAAUUAUGUAUAUAUACCAUAUACCUCUGUUA
rnacentral:tRNA from 1 species